GCCCCCUUAGCUCAAAAGGAGAGCAACGGUCUUACAAACCGGGGACGGCCGUGCAAUUCGGUCAGGGGGUA
rnacentral:tRNA from 1 species